AUGACCAAGCAGAGCUUGCAACACUCUCGGUGUGUCGCCCCCGUGUGGCUCAAAGCUAUUUUGGCCAACUGCCGACAGGACGUAGUAGCUCAACAACGCAUAACUAAACUAGCACUGCAAGCAGACUGUGAAGAAGGAUUUGCCCUUAAGGGCGGUGUGAUUAGAUUUAACGAUCGUAUCUGGAUUGGAGAUGACCCAGAAAUACAAACAUCACUGAUCAAAGCACUUCAUGACAGUGCAAUAGGGGGUCACUCCGGAUUUCACGCGACGUACAACCGGGUGAAACGUCUGUUUGCUUGGAAAGGGAUGAAGGACAUGGUCAAGAAGUGGGUGCACGAAUGCAGCAUCUAUUUCAUCAAGGGGUUGCCUAAGUCUAGUGGAUAUGAUGUGAUAAUGGUGGUCGUGGAUAAAUUUUCAAAGUAUGCCCAUUUCGUGCCAAUGAAACAUACCUUCACAACCUUGACAGUGGCUACCUUGUUCAUGGAUCACAUCUUCGGGUUGCAUGGCCUGCCAUUGGCAUUGAUUUUCGACACGGAUCGCAUCUUCACCAGCACACUAUGGCAAGAGUUGUUCAGGGUAUCCAAAACACAACUGCGUAUGAGUUCUUCAUACCAUCCGCAAAUGGAUGGCCAGACAGAACGCGUUAACCAAUGCCUUGAAACAUAUCACCGAUGCUCAGUACAUGCCUGCCCAAAAAAUUGGCUCAAGUGGUUAUUUCUCACAGAAUAUUGGUACAACACGACCUUCCACUCUGCGCUGGGGAGAACUCCGUUUGAAGUCAUCUACGGGACACUACCGUGGGAAUUUGGAGUUACACAGGUGGAUGAAUGUUCUGUUCCUGAUUUGGAGAGUUGGCUCCGAGAGCGAGAGGUCAUGCGGGAGCUGCUGCAACAGCAACUGAAGCGCGCCCAAGAUCGUAUGAAGGAGCAAGCAGAUAAGCACUGCACUGAUAGAGAGUUUCAGGUUGGCGACAUGGGAAGAGCUGCCACAAUCUCUGGCUACUUGGGAAGACCCAAUGCAUCUGCGACAGCAGUUUCCGGCAUCACCGGCUUGGGGCAAGCCAGGUCCCAAGGGGGGGGGGAGAAUGUCACGAUUGACAAGGCUAGUCUACAGGAACAGAGUGUCAACAAGGAGGGGCCCAGUGAUCAGUCGAGCAAGGAUUGCAUGGGUGGCCAUCCCGAUGCUGGUAGCGUGUGUUAG
rnacentral:rRNA from 1 species